GGCUUCAUAGCUCAGUCAGUUGAUAGAGCAACGCACUAUAGUAACGCGGAGGUCAUGGGUUCAAAUCCCGUUGAAGCCA